rnacentral:rRNA from 1 species
GAUGAACGCUGGCGGCGUGCCUAAUACAUGCAAGUCGAGCGAACAGACGAGGAGCUUGCUCCUCUGACGUUAGCGGCGGACGGGUGAGUAACACGUGGAUAACCUACCUAUAAGACUGGGAUAACUUCGGGAAACCGGAGCUAAUACCGGAUAAUAUAUUGAACCGCAUGGUUCAAUAGUGAAAGACGGUUUUGCUGUCACUUAUAGAUGGAUCCGCGCCGCAUUAGCUAGUUGGUAAGGUAACGGCUUACCAAGGCGACGAUGCGUAGCCGACCUGAGAGGGUGAUCGGCCACACUGGAACGGAGACACGGUCCAGACUACUACGGGAGGCAGCAGUAGGGAAUCUUACGCAAUGGGCGAAAGCCUGACGGAGCAACGCCGCGUGAGUGAUGAAGGUCUUCGGAGCGUAAAACUCUGUUAUUAGGGAAGAACAAAUGUGUAAGUAACUAUGCACGUCUUGACGGUACCUAAUCAGAAAGCCACGGCUAACUACGUG